rnacentral:lncRNA from 1 species
CCCCGAGUGACUGAAGCGCCCGCAGGUGCCUGUGCCUGUGUAUCCCGACAAUAAACCAAAUCCUCUUGCUGAUUGCAUCCUGUGGUGUCUCGGUCUGGUCUUUGGAGUUGGAGGGUCUCCAUCCUGAGGGAAAGUUCUCCCUGAGAGCUUUUCAUUUGGUGCGUUGGCCGGGAAAGGAGAUCCUCCACCCAGGGACCACCGACCACCCACUGGGAGGUAAGCCGGCCGGCGUCUGUCUGUCUGUCUGAUUUUGUCUCGUUCUGCCUUAUUCUGUCUGUUCUGUGAGCGCUCAGCCAGGUCUGUUCUGUGAGCGCUCAGCCAGGUCUGUUCUGUGAGCACUCAGCCAGGUCUGUUCUGUGAGCGCUCAGCCAGGUUGUUUGGAAUUUGGGCGGGACGAAGAAGGAGCUGACGAGCUCGGACUUCUCGCCCCGCAGCCCUGGAAGACGUUCCAAGGGUGUUGGGGCCCGACUUUUCGGGGCCCAAUCUGGGAGAGGAGAAAGAUCCGGACUAACGGCACUCUGUCUGUAUUUUUGGCUUUCAGAGGGCCCCGGACCUUUGCCACCUCCAUCUGACUUUUUGCUUUCAGUUUGGUACCAAAGCCGUGCAGCACGCCUGUCUGUUGUUUGUUUGACUGUUGGUGUUGUUUGUUUUCUCUGUGUUCUAAUCUUCCUUAGAACUAACAUGGGACAGUCCCUAACAACGCCCCUAAGUCUCACUCUUGAUCAUUAGAAAGACGUCCACGACCAGGCACACAACCAGUCCGUCGAGGUUAAAAAAAAAAAAAAAGAAAAUGACAGACUCUCUGCACAUCCGAGUGGCCCACUUUCGGAGCGGGAUGGCCAAUGAAUGGCACAUUUAAUAAGAUCA